UACGUAGGGUGCAAGCGUUGUCCGGAAUUAUUGGGCGUAAAGAGCUCGUAGGCGGCUAGUCGCGUCGGCUGUGAAAACCUGGGGCUCAACCCCGGGCCUGCAGACGAUACGGGCUAGCUAGAAUUCGGUAGGGGAGACUGGAAUUCCUGGUGUAGCGGUGAAAUGCGCAGAUAUCAGGAGGAACACCGGUGGCGAAGGCGGGUCUCUGGGCCGAUACUGACGCUGAGGAGCGAAAGCGUGGGGAGCGAACAGG
rnacentral:rRNA from 1 species